CAGGGUUCAUGCCCCUCAGAUGCUCCAGGGAUGGUGGAGGGUUCAGACCCCCGGAAGGGGCCUGGAGUCCCUGGACCCUUGACAGCAGGGAGCCGCCUGCCUGGAGUCACGGACCCAGAAAGUCACUCGCCUCCAAAGCCAGGCAUCCUCCUGACUCGGGACACCGCCCCCCACACCCUGGUGUACACCUUUCACAAGCUGAGUGCAGCCCGACCUCUCCAUUGCCCACCUGAAGGUCAGUCCCAGGGGGCUAGCACACCCCCCCGGCAGGGCCUUCGGGAGGACCUGCGAUGCCCCAGGGGAGCCCUGCGGGUGGGGCUCUGGGAGGGGCCCUCCUCCCAAGGGAGUUUCCCGGCCCCUGAGGGCCAGCAGUUCCGGCCCCGAGGUGGGGCUCCCCGAAGCCCUGCCUCCCACACCCUGCCACCCCCCCACCCCACCCGAAGCAGAGUUUCCAGCCAGUGGAGGCUGAGCAAAGCUGCGCGCUCGGGCGCCGUCUUCCAGGGCCCAGGGCCGAGGGGGCGGCCUGGAGGCCGGGCGUCAGGUGCAGCCGGAGGUGGGUAA
rnacentral:lncRNA from 1 species